GACGAACGCUGGCGGCGUGGAUUAGGCAUGCAAGUCGAACGGUAUCAUCCUUUCGGGGGUGAGAGAGUGGCGAACUGGUGAGUAACACGUAGGUUAUCUACCCUCAAGACGGGGACAACCCAGGGAAACUUGGGCUAAUACCGGAUGUGAGCAACUUUUAGUUGUUUGAAAGGUGGCGUAAGCUGUCGCUUGGGGAUGAGCCUGCGUCCUAUUAGUUAGUUGGUGAGGUAACGGCUCACCUAGGCAAUGAUAGGUAGGCGGCCUUAACGGGUGGUCGCCCACACUGGGAUUGAGAUACGGCCCAGACUCCUACGGGAGGCAGCAGUCGAGAAUAGUCUACAAUGGUCGGAAGACUGAUAGUGCGACGCCGCGUGAACGAUGAAUCCCUUCGGGGUGUAAAGUUCUUUUAUAUGUGAGCAGUGCUUCUUAUAUUAACAGUAUGGGGGGAAGAUAUUAGCAUAUGAAUAAGCAACGGCUAACUCCGUG
rnacentral:rRNA from 1 species